rnacentral:rRNA from 1 species
UACGGGAGGCAGCGGUGGGGAAUAUUGCACAAUGGGCGCAAGCCUGAUGCAGCCAUGCCGCGUGUAUGAAGAAGGCCUUCGGGUUGUAAAGUACUUUCAGUCGUGAGGAAGGUGUUAAGGUUAAUAACCUUAGCAAUUGACGUUAGCGACAGAAGAAGCACCGGCUAACUCCGUGCCAGCAGCCGCGGUAAUACGGAGGGUGCGAGCGUUAAUCGGAAUUACUGGGCUAAAGGGCACGCAGGCGGUUAAUUAAGUUGGAUGUGAAAUCCCCGGGCUUAACCUGGGAAUGGCAUUCAAGACUGGUUAGCUAGAGUCUUGUAGAGGGGGUAGAAUUCCAUGUGUAGCGGUGAAAUGCGUAGAGAUGUGGAGGAAUACCGGUGGCGAAGGCGGCCCCUGGACAAAGACUGACGCUCAUGUGCGAAAGCGUGGGGAGCAAAC